UGCUGCCUCUGUAGUAGUGGUGGGCGAUACUGCAAAAUUUGGUAUCGAUCCGAUACCAAAUACAUAUAG